rnacentral:rRNA from 1 species
UACGAAGGGGGCUAGCGUUGCUCGGAAUCACUGGGCGUAAAGCGCACGUAGGCGGCUUUCUAAGUCAGGGGUGAAAUCCUGGAGCUCAACUCCAGAACUGCCCUUUGAUACUGGAGAGCUUGAGUCCGGAAGAGGUGAGUGGAACUCCGAGUGUAGAGGUGGAAUUCGUAGAUAUUCGGAAGAACACCAGUGGCGAAGGCGGCAUCACUGGUCCGGUACUGACGCUGAUGUGCGAAAGCGUGGGGAGCAACAGGAUUGAAGAUACCCGGG